CUUGAUUGAGCCGAGCCAGAGCGGCCGCUCCGGUUCGCGCUCGAGUCCAUAGGUUGCAAGCAGCGCCUGCACUUC
rnacentral:antisense_RNA from 1 species